CGAAGCUACACACGAAGUAUCAGUUUAAUCUGGAUACUUGAUUGCUUUGGGGAAAGUCCCCGGAUACUAGGGUAGAAAGUACCAUCUGUAAGAGACAAACGCCAACGUGCGAUAUUGGUGAAAGGAACCAAGACGUUUUUACCGAGUUUCUUUCAUCGUGAAGAUAUCAAACGUUGGUUAUUUCAUCGCAGCAAAGUCAUGUGAUUAGUGUUACCCUUCUUCGGAAGUUUUCGAUAAAAGUCGUGAUCGAAUUGGUAAAACAUCAACACAACGGGGCUCACUCUGC
rnacentral:RNase_MRP_RNA from 16 species